GCGAAAGUUCCAUGCUUCCUUGCAUUCAAUAGUGUGUUUGAAAGACCUAUGGAAUGUAAAGAAGUAUGGAGCGCUCGG
rfam:Anopheles dirus strain WRAIR2 unplaced genomic scaffold supercont1.7, whole genome shotgun sequence.